rnacentral:tRNA from 1 species
GGCGGGGUAGCUCAGCGGUAGAGCGGAGGAAUCAUAAUCCUUGUGUCGCCGGUUCAAUCCCGGCCCUCGCUACCA